AAUCAGAGCUGCACCUGCUGGCCUCCACCAUAGCCACAGCAAUGCCAGAUCCGAGCCACAUCUGCAACUUGCCACAGUUCACAGCAAUGCUGGAUCCUUAAAGCACUGAGUGGGGCCAGGGAUCGAACCCGAAUGUUGAAAAAUACUAAGGCCAGUUUUUUUUUUAUAUUUUUUUUGGGCAGCACUAUCUGCCUCCCCACCCCAACCCACACGUGAAAGAGGAGGAAAUCUUGCCACUGAGUCUCAUUAACCCUUUAUCUCUUCUCAAAACUCUAUGGUCAAAAAAAGUUUAGUUUUGAAGUCUGAAAGCCAGUAUUUUACAGUAUGGACCAACACAGUCUAUUUGUAAAGUUUUGUUAUCAGUCUCUAAAGAAACAUGUACAUCUCAAUGCCUUCCAAGGGUCAAGCACUGGGCUGGGUCAUCAAUAUAAAGAAUGGCUCAUUUUACUUGGGAGUGGGGAUUUGAAAGAGUUACAGAGGGAAGGACUCAAGUUAUGCUUCCCAAGAGAGAAGAGGCACUUCAUCCAGGUAGUGUGGACAAAGGCAUCAAACAGCACAGCAUUAGAUCAUAGGCGUUUUAGUUUACUGGGAUGCCUGCUACCUUAGAAAAUUACUGCAACCGUCCAAAAAAAUGAAAAUUUGAACAAAAAUAGAGUGAAGAAAGUUGGAGUAUGAUUAUUCAUAUAAAAUGUAGGAUGAGAGGCAAAAAAAUGUUUAGGGAACAGAUGAAGUCCUUAGGAAUCAAGUACCAAGCUUAAUAUUUUUGAGUUUAAAGAAGCCUGUGGCCCAUGCAGCUCUGAGAUGAAAGGUUGGGCCUUUAAUUAGAAAAUAAUAGGCACAAAUGAAACUUCCAGGGAGAAUAUAUAAUGCAAGAAGGUAGACAAAGACAAGAACUGCAAGCAGUAUUUAAAAUGCCACAGGAAUAUAAAGAAAAAUUAGAGCUCAAGAGGUUCAUGGAUUUCACAAUGAGGAAUGAGGACACAAACUUAUUAAAAAUACAAAACAAGGAUUUGUUUCCACUAGCUUGAAAUAUGACCUCUUUUCCUUAUUAAGCUACAGUGACACUAUAACAUUCUGAAAAUUACUUUUAAAUGACUGACUUAAUAUUUAGUUCCUCUUUUCUAAACUGGAACAAAAUUGCUUUAAAUGUAAAUUAUCCAAGAAUUCCUACAGGCAAAAUGCCCAUUUAUAUUCAGAGGGGACGAAAAUAUUUUUGAACUUUUAAAAUCAUUUGCACUCAAUCUUGUUUUAUUUCUACCAAUUCUACAACGAAGACUAAAGCAAACAGCACAACCUUAACUCCAGAUUAAACUCAUCUUUUCAGGUCCAACAAACAUUUCCUCCUAGCACUAAAUGUAGGUUUUCAGUCAAAAAUUGUCAGGUUUUAGAUGCAAAAGUCUUUGCUGAUUAACCCCCAGCUCUCAACACCACCCAAGGAGCAAAGCUCUUUUAAAUCUUCUCUGGUUAAUAGCUACUAAUAGCCAAGUGGGAAGAGUCAAAACAAUAUUAGUCUUUCUUACUGAAUAUGUCAAAAUAGAACAUAAGAACUUUUGAGAUGCUGGAGAUCUUCACUUUUACAAGGUUCCAAACACUAAAACUCAUUUAAAAAAAAUGAUUUAAAGAGGUAGGUUUAAUAUUUCAUAAUGGUUCAGGAAUCUUAAUGAAUAACAUUUACCAAAAGUGAUCACAAUUUCAUCUUUUAUUUUUAAAAACGAUAGUAAGAGGGCAACAACAACAAAAAACGGAACACUAAGUAUUGAAAACAGCCUCACAACUACACACAGAUAACACUAGCAACUUUUAUUCUGUAUUACUAAUCACGUCUAAAUUAAAAAACAAAUCCACUGAUAAGAUUAACAUUCUUGUAGGAUAUACAGAGUAGAAACGGGAAGAAAGUUAAGACGGAAGGAAUAGGAAGUAUGAAAAUGGCCUUCAAAAUUCAGAUAUAUACUCCUUGGUUUCUUGUAGCUUUUAGAUUAUUGAAAAGUGUUCCCGGGUGUUACCUCGCCUUAUACGCGUACUUCGAAACUUAGGGAAUAUCACACUAUUUGGAUCUGAAAUUUAGGUUUUCUCAAAAAACACUCGAUACUCCUCCAUUCUGUGGCCCAGGAACCAGACUCUCCUUUCUACUCAGUCCAGUGGCCUUUCGGACUCACGGUGGAUUUCGACUCCCACAUCGGGGACCUGCCAUCUUACGUAAGUAUACUUCGCAAGGAGAAAGGCAGAGAAGAAAAUAGGGCGCCAAACCUUUCCCUCCACCACCAGCCAUCACACCCCAGGAGGAGCGUCCCUCCGGGGGCUUUCCCCAGGAGCCACAGCGGCUAAGCAGUAUGGGGGAGGGGAAGCGCUCUCAAACAGCCAUCUCUUCCUCUUCAGGCCGCCAACGUCGACCGCACCACAGUCUCCUCCGCCCCAGCCCUUUCCCCUCCCCCGCCCCGGCCUGGGUCUGAGCCAAACCCCACAGGAAUGCAGCCCGGUCACAUGCGCUGCGGCGGCGGUGGACGUGCCUCUCCCCCCGCGCCCCAAGGAGACCCAGCGCCAUCUUGCCCUGACGCAGUUACAAAAGUCAUGGGAGAAUUUGUGUCUCCUCGUCCGCGCCAGCGCCCCAAAGAUCCGCAGAGGCCGAGCCGGGGCCCUCACCUCGCGCAAGGACAGGAGAAAACAGGGAAGAGCCUUGAGAUUCCCCUCGCCACUGCUUGUGCUCCAUACCGGCCGCGGCGACAACGACCACCAUCGUCACCUCUCCCUCUGCCUGUG
rnacentral:lncRNA from 1 species